rnacentral:rRNA from 1 species
ACGGACACACGAAAACGCAACUUUCUUAUCGAGGAAAAUAAAAAUUAACCUUCAAGUGAAGAGACUUGAGUACCAUAAAAAGACGAAAAGACCCUAUGGAGCUUUACUUAAGUUAUUAAACCACAAAUAAAAAAAGCUUUUUUUACUAAAAAAGUUUAGUUGGGGCGACUAAGGAGCACACACCACCCUCCUACUGACAAAAGACUCUAAAUCUACAAAAGAUCCACAAACGUGAAUAAAAAUCCAGCUACCCUAGGGAUAACAGGCUAAUCCUCCUUAAGAGCUCAAAUUGACAGGAGGGCUUGGCACCUCGAUGUUGGCUUAAGAUCUCUACUAAGUGCAGCAGCUUAGGUAGUAGGUUUGUUCAACCUUUAAAAUCUU